rnacentral:rRNA from 1 species
CGGAUUAAGGAAACCGGCGCACGGGUGCGUAACGCGUAUGCAACUUGCCCUUAUCAGGAGGAUAGCCCGGGGAAACUCGGAUUAAUACUCCAUAAGAUUUUGAUUGGCAUCAAUUAGGAUUGAAAGAUUUAUUGGAUAAGGAUAGGCAUGCGUCAGAUUAGUUAGUUGGUAGUGUAACGGACUACCAAGGCGAUGAUCUGUAGGGGGCCUGAGAGGGUGAACCCCCACACUGGUACUGAGACACGGACCAGACUCCUACGGGAGGCAGCAGUGAGGAAUAUUGGACAAUGGAGGGAACUCUGAUCCAGCCAUCCCGCGUGCAGGAAGACGGCCCUAUGGGUUGUAAACUGCUUUUGUAUGGGGAUAAAUCUACUUACGUGUAGGUAGUUGAAGGUACCAUACGAAUAAGCAUCGGCUAACUCCGUGCCAGCAGCCGCGGUAAUACGGAGGAUGCAAGCGUUAUCCGGAUUCAUUGGGUUUAAAGGGUCCGUAGGCGGGCUAAUAAGUCAGUGGUGAAAUUUUGUCGCUUAACGAUAAAACUGCCAUUGAUACUGUUAGUCUUGAGUGGUAUUGAAGUAGCUGGAAUGUGUAGUGUAGCGGUGAAAUGCAUAGAUAUUACACAGAACACCGAUUGCGAAGGCAGGUUACUAAGUAUUAACUGACGCUGAAGGACGAAAGCGUGGGGAGCGAACAGGAUUAGAUACCCUGGUAGUCCACGCAGUAAACGAUGCUAACUCGUUUUCGGG